AUUGAACGCUGGCGGCAUGCUUUAUACAUGCAAGUCGAACGGCAACACCUGUGCUUGCACCUGGUGACUAGUGGCGAACGGGUGAGUAAUGCAUUGGAACGUACCCCGUAAUGGGGGAUAACUUGCCGAAAGGCAAGCUAAUACCCCAUACUCUCUUAUGAUGAAAGCGGGGGAUCUUCGGACCUCUCGUUAUCCGAGCGGACAAUGUCUGAUUACCUAGUUGGUGGGGUAAAAGCCUACCAUGGCCACGAUCAUUACCGGGUCUGAGACGAUGAUCCGCCACACUGGGACUGAGACACAGACCAGACUCCUACUGCAGGCAGCAGUGGGGAAUUUUGAACAAUGGGCGCGAGCCUGAUCCAGCCAUGCCGCGUGUCUGAAGAAGGCCUUCGGCUUGUAAAGGACUUUUGUACUGGAAGAAAAAGAUGUGACUAAUACCCAUGACUGAUGACAGUACCGUAAUAAUAACCACCGGCUAACUACGUGCCAACAGCCGCGGUAAUACGUAUGGUGCGAGCGUUAAUCGAAAUUACUGGGCGUAAAGCGGGCGCAUACGGUUAUUUAACCAGGAUGUGAAAUCCCUGGGCUCAACCUGGGAACUGCGUUCUGAACUGGAUAGCUAGAGUGUGUCAGAGGGGGGUAGAAUUCCACGUGUAGCAGUGAAAUGCGUAGAGAUGUGGAGGAAUACCGAUGGCGAAGGCAGCCCCCUGGGAUAACACUGACGUUCAUGCCCGAAAGCGUGGGUAGCAAACAGGAUUAGAUACCCUGGUAGUCCACGCCCUAAACGAUGUCAAUUAGCUGUUGGGGCACUUGAUGCCUUAGUAGCGUAGAUAACGCGCGAAAUUGACCGCCUGGGGAGUACGGUCGCAAGAUUAAAACUCUCAGGAAUUGACGGGGACCCGCACAAGCGGUGGAUGAUGUGGAUUAAUUCUAUGCAACGCGAAGAACCUUACCUGGUCUUGACACGUACGGAAGGUCUUAGAGAUAAGACUGUGCUUUCGGGAACCGUAACCCAGGUGCUGCAUGGCGGUGUUCAGCUCGUGUCGUGAGAUGUUGGGUUAAGUCCCGCAACGAGCGCAACCCUUGUCAUCAGUUGCCAUCAUUAAGUUGGGCACUCUGAUGAGACUGCCGGUGACAAACCGGAGGAAGGUGGGGAUGACGUCAAGUCCUCAUGGCCCUUAUGACCAGGGCUUCACACGUCAUACAAUGGUCGGUACAGAGGGUAGCCAAGCCGCGAGGCGGAGCCAAUCCCAGAAAACCGAUCGUAGUCCGGAUUGCACUCUGCAACUCGAGUGCAUGAAGUCGGAAUCGCUAGUAAUCGCAGGUCAGCAUACUGCGGUGAAUACGUUCCCGGGUCU
rnacentral:rRNA from 1 species